GCGUCGAUGGUGCAACGGUUAGCGUGCGCUCCCGGAAAGAGUGAGAUCUGGGUUCAAAUCCCGGCUGUGACGCA